UCGGCAAACCUCGACAGAUUCUACGCAUCUAAUCUCGGCUGUAUAACCAUUUCCGCCAUAUUUGAACUAUUUUAAAGGUUCCGAAUGAAAAAUGGCUGCCCCCAUGGAGAUUUCUGUGGAGAGUGUAUUAUAUCAACAAACGUCACGUUUGGCAUUGGGUUUGGGGAAUUACCAGGGAAUUUUAUCAAACCAGCAGCCUUGAGACAAUAUCUCUGCUCAUUUAGGUAUAUACACUCUACAAAAGACGCAAUUUGGGACUUUUUUGUAAAAGCGACACGUUUUCCUGUUUAAAGUAAACCGGUAGCGGCAUCGCAAAUGUAUGGGCGUAGGCACAUAUCACUUACUGUCAUACAGCUGAGAUUAGAUGUAGGGUACCGGAAUCUGUCAAGAUUUGCCGAGUGGUCGAUUGCAUCACCUUUCGCGUCACAUGAUUAUGUCUUCAAUCUAUCACGUGACUUCUCGAUGUGAGUGGUGAUUGGCUAAUGAAUUCUAUAUUCGGCCGAAUGCUUAGUCGAAGCGAACACACCAGGCGAAUAUAAUUUGGUCGAAUAUAUCAAACCUGUUUGAUUCGGCCGAAUGACAGUGGACACACUAGGAAAAAACAGUUAUCAAUUUGAGAUUUCAGUGAAGUUAAACUUGAACAUAGUUGAACUGUUUGUAAGCUGGCUUGAAGACGACCAGUAGCGGAUGUAGAAGCUGUGAAGGGGCAAUAAAGGGUGUGUGGAGGGGGAGGGGGGUCUAGGACGCCAUCAAGAAUCUCACCCGACAAUGAAUGUCAACAAAAUACUGGCUAUACCGCUGAACGCCCAUUUAGCUCCCCCCCCCCUCCCCCUCUAAAAAAAAAAAAAAAAAAAAAAAAUGGGGUGCGAACGUUGAUUAAAUAUAUUUUCAAAACGUUUUACGAAUCCGAAAUCACCUAAUUUUAAGAACGAAGAAAUUGACCUACUAUCCAUAACUCUGUAACUAUGUGACCUAUGUUACUGUUUUUAUACGCCCACAUUGUUGUUGCCCCCGUCCGUCGGUCCGGCGUCCACAAUUGCUUGUGGACGCCAUAAACGCUAAAGUUAAUAUCCGAUUGACUUUAAAUUUAUACACAGUGUUUAAGGUCAUGAGACGAAGAAGCCUAUUGAUUUUCAGCGAUUUUCGAUAAUUAUUGCCAGAGUUGUGGCCCUUGAUCACUUCAAAAAAUCGUGUGGACGCUCUAGAGGUCAAAGUUAAUAUCCGAUAGACUUUAAAUAUAUACACAGUGUUUAAGUUCAUGAGACGAAGAAGCCUAUUGAUUUUCAGCGAUUUCCGAUAAUUACUGUCAGAGUUAUGGCCCUUGAUCACUUUGAAAAAUCUUGUGAACGCUCUAGAGGCUAAAGUUAAUAUCCGAUUGACUUUAAAUUUAUACACAGUGUUUAAGGUCAUGAGACGAACAAGUAUAUUGAUUUUCAAUGAAUCUUUAUGACUUGAACAGCUAAAUCCAUGAUGUUAAAAGUUUCGUAUAUUAAAAGUUAGCAUGGGGCAGAACUUUAUAAAAAAA